UGAACGCUGGCGGCGUGCAUAACACAUUCAAGUCGAACGGGAAUCCGAUGAUUGAGACUUCGGUCGAUUGAAACGGAGGAUAGUGGCGGACGGGUGAGUAACGCGUGAGCAACCUACCUUAUACAGGGGGAUAACCUUUCGAAAGGGAGACUAAUACCGUAUAACAUUACUUUGAGGCAUCUUGAGGUAAUUAAAUCUUCGGAGGUAUAAGAUGGGCAUGCGUAGCAUUAGCUAGAUGGUGCGGUAACGGCGUACCAUGGCGACGAUGCUUAGGGGUUCUGAGAGGAAGGUCCCCCACACUGGUACUGAGAUACGGACCAGACUCCUACGGGAGGCAGCAGUGAGGAAUAUUGGUCAAUGGUCGGAAGACUGAACCAGCCAUGCCGCGUGCAGGAAGAAUGUCUUAUGGAUUGUAAACUGCUUUUGUAUGGGAAUAAUAAUAGCUUUGCGAAGUUAGAUGCAUGUACCAUACGAAUAAGGAUCGGCUAACUCCGUG
rnacentral:rRNA from 1 species